UGUGGAUCAAAUCUUCCUUAUUCUCAUCCUCCACAUGGUGAUAGCAACGACUUUUUCAAUCACCAUCUUUGAUGAAGACCAUGACAGCGCUCUUGACCUUGGGUGGAAACUCACUGUGAGGAAACCUUAGUUCCUUGGGGGAUGUAGCUGGACCACCGAUAGUAGGAGAGAAAGAGAAGAAUUAACUCCAAAGACCAAGCAAUACUUGAUGGGUUUAAGAAGUUUGGCACUAAAUGUCUGGUCCAGUAUCAGAGGUGCUUACGAAGAUGUACUGAGUUAACAUCAAAGACCGUUACAUGACAAUGACCAGUAAAAACUCCAAAGCCUCUGAUAAGAAACUCCCGUUUGUUUUCUUCAGCUGAAGACCAAACAAUGUUUGGGGGGUUUAAAAAGUAUGGUCCUAAAAACUGGGCCAAGAUCGUACGUACUUACAAGGAUGUCUAUCAGAGCUCGUUAGUCACGGGAGAAUUACAAACAGUGCCUCUUGCUCUUCCAAAGCCAAAGACGUUGCUUGCCCAGUCUACCUGGAAGUUAACGUGAAUUCUAAAGAAAGACGUGAAUGGUGAAUUCUUUGAAACAAUUGAGUACUGGAGUCCUUUCUGAACAAAUUUUGAUAAGAGCAGAACCAUAAUCCCAUAGAUGUUGGAUUUAUUAAUGGGCCUAUGUAAACUGAAUGUCUAAACAUAAGAUAGUUGUAAUGGGCCGAUCACUAUCCAAUAAAUUCAUCCAUUUGGGCUGAACCCAUUUCACCUAUUAUCAAUAUCCAAUAGUGCACGUUCUAGCUCGAACGAAAAUGAUAGAUACCUUUUUUUGCCAACAGGGCUAUGAGUCCUUCUCAUGAAUAAUAUAUAAGCCACGUAAACAUAGCUAUUAUAGAAUUACAUAAUAUAUAACACUAAAUUACAUUAAUUUAUUGGUAAAUGUUGUUAUAUAAACUAAAAUAUUUUAGUAUAGAAAUAAGAAACCCGCACGGUUGUGCGGAUCGAAAUCUAGUUGUUUUUAAAUAGCUAUCCACUCAUAAUGAAAAAUAAUAUACGUACUUCUUUUGAGGAAAGUUUGUUUUUUAUUAUCUGAAUAUAUAUGCAUUUAUAUUUGUCACACCAAAAAAACAUGAAAUUAUUGUUUUUAGAAUUUAUUUACAAAAUUGAAAUUUUUAUUUACAUUAAUAAACAAAAAGAAAUAUGAGGUUUGCAUCCCUAUUAAACUAUAUUGUAUAAUUCACUUAUAAAAUUGAAAAAUGCAUUUAUAAAAUAUUAAAUAAUUAUUAAAUAAUAAUUUUUAUUUAAAUUAUUAUUUGCCUCCGAUGAAAUUUUUUUGAGAAAUUAGGACGUCUACCAACCAUUUCUACGCUAUUUUGCAUACUGCCAAAAGGGCACCUUUUCGAUACUAUUGACAAUUUCGGAGGACACUGAUACCCCUAUAACUUCAUAUCUGGGGUGCCUAUGCAAAAGCUAUCUAAAAGAUAUCACAAGAUUUUUCACAGGAAUUGUCAGUCCAAAACUACAACCCUUACCAUGUUUAUGAUUCUAUAUUGCAAUUUUUUUCUUUCUUCCAUCGUAUCUUCACUAAUUCUGAAGAUCUCUCAACAUAUCUCCUCUCCCAUCCUCUUUCCUCUCAGAAACACCUCCAAUCUAUGACAAACCCAAAAUUUUCUAACUUGAGACGAAAUGGAAGACGCUGAACACUGAGCUUCACAACUUCUCAUUCCGGAGAGAAUUUUCGCCGUUCGUGAAGAACGAAUCAGAGUGAGGAGCUGUAGAUGGAGAAUAACAACUCAGAAAGCUCACCUUAUCUGAUCCUGGAGAGUUUCUUCUCUCUCGUUGAUGAGCCUAUCGGUGUUAGAGUGAUGCCGUACAACAAACCUUUCGCAGUCAGGCAGAUCCUCAGUGCCACCGACGCCGAUGAAGUCAAAACUCCAAAUGAUAAAGUGGAACCAAAAAAUUAGAAAAAAUAUUUACAAGUGACUCGACAAUUACAAAAAUAUCUCAGUCCAAAAACUAUUUGAAUCCAUGCUAAACGUUUUCGUAACCUUCUACAAAAAUGGACAUCAUCCGCAACUAAAAAUACAAUAUUUUGCUUAGUUGGAUAAACAAUGAGAACCACAUGCACAAGCAGAUUGUAAAAACUAUUGUCCAACUAAUAUAUUUUGAAAUUGGCUUAACAAAAUUGUUGUCCAACUAAUAUUAUAUUUUACAUAUCUAACAUUUUUCAUUGAUAGCUAACAUUACUUUUAGCUGAGCUUUGAAAGUUUUAACUGGAUAAUAAUACUUUUUAAAUAUAUAUUUUAGUUU